rnacentral:lncRNA from 1 species
UGUAUGUAUAUAUCUAUGCAUAUAUGUGUGUAUGAAUUGAUAUAUUUCCUGUCGCAACUGACGUUCUCCUCCUUAAGUGUCCAGAUUAAUGCAUGCAACUUUCCCUGCAACCAUAGAUGUAACAAGAUAUUAAAUAGGUAUACGGUUUAAAAUCCUAUAUACACGCCUACACCCCUUAAUGUAAAGCUCUACAUCAAUAAAAUAAAAAAACGCUCACAACCUGCCCUUAAUGCACAUGCAGAGAUAAAUUUAACUGUCCUCUUGGACAGGCAUGCGAUAUUUCUUCCAUUGUUUACGAAACCAAGUAUCCGCAAACUAUGGUAAUGACUGGACAGAGACCAAUCUUUAUACUGAAUCAAUACGCAAAAAUUGUAAUGCAAGACAAUAUCCAUAUGUUAACUUCGAGACACUCCGCGAAGAAGUAUGCGACGACCCUCAGGUUUUAAUCUCGAAACUUAAGGGCGAGAACGUCAGCUACGAUAUCAACUGGGAGAUCCUUUCUAAGACCAAACCCUAUAUUAACGGGUCAAAACGAUGUUCCGUAUGCCCGCUUGAAAAACCGUAUCUUUUAAAAAUCUUAAGAACUGUGUGAAUAACAGGAACGAGAUUUUUCUUUAUGUCCUCAUUUAAAAAAAUACAACUCAGCGAAAAUUAAGGAUGAACCACCGGGCACAUCAUAGACCAUUCCUAUGUUUGUUUGUGAUUUUGAGUUUCGGAAGGCACUGGUUAUAUUUACUGUGGAGUGAAAUAUCUCCCAUGAGCAUCUCUCUGCCUUUUCCUUGAUUGGUGUGCUCAUUCAGAAGUCGAUUGCAUCGAACGUAAAAGAAAUGGCAUAAUAAGUGGAUCUUUUCGCUUUGACCGGCAGAUUUUUAAAAUGACUUCUUUGUAAGUAAACACUUUAAAACUUCGUAUACUGGUAGAAUGUGUUACAUAAAACAUCUUUUCUCUUGAGUUUCUUGAGAAAAUUCUGUAGUUUGUAAGCUAUUUGUUCUUUAAUUUCUUGCAUUUCGGGAAUUUCAACAAAUCGCCGGAAAUAAUUGUUGUUGACAACGAUACGGACGAAUUGGAUUCACCUUAAUAGACGUCAUUGAUUGGUUGAAAUUGCCGAAAUGCAAGAAAUUAUUUUUAAAAUCUGCCGGUCAAUGCGACAAGAUCCUAAUAAGUUAAUAUUUCGGCUAAGACGCCCUGGUAUUGUGUGUGUAUGUGUGCAUGUGUAUGUGCGUGUAUGUGUGUGUAUGUGUGUACAUGUGUGUGCAUGACACCCUAAAAAGACGGAUGGUAUGAAAUGUGAAACAUCUAUUUAACUACCUGACAUGGAAGCCGUUUCACAGCCUUCAUCAUAUAAUAGUAAUUUCAGAUUAUUCUUCCUUUUUCUUUUUCUCUUUUACUUGUUUAAGUCAUUUGGCUGCGGCCUUGAAGGGUUUUAUUCGAAUGAAUCAUUCAGGGUCUUUUCUUAAGCCUAGGACUCAUUCUAUCAGUCUAUUUUGCAGAAUUGCUAAGGUACGGUGACAUAAACACACCAACACCGGUUGUCAUGCGGUGAUAGGGGGUCAAACAUAGACACAACCACACAAAUCAUCAUCAUCAUCAUCAUCAUCAUCAUCAUCGUUUAGCGUCCGCUUUCCAUGCUAGCAUGGGUUGGACGGUUCAACUGGGGUCUGUGAAGCCAGAAGGCUGCAUCAGGCCCAGUCUGAUCUGGCAAUGUUUCUACGGCUGGAUGCCCUUCCUAACGCCAACCACUCCGUGAGUGUAGUGGGUGCUUUUUACGUGCCACCCGCACAGGUGCCACACGGAUCUGGCAAGUGGCCACGGACGGAUGGUGCUUUUUACGUGCCACCGGCACGGGGGCAAGGCAAGGCUGGCAACGGCCAUGAUCGGAUGGUGCUUUUUACGUGCCACCGGCACGGUGACCAGGCGAGGCUGGCAACGGCCACGAACGGAUGGUGCUUUUUACGUGUCACCGGCACGGAGGCCAGUCGGGGCGACGCUGAAAAAGGCCACGAUCGGAUGGUUCGCUUACUUGUCACCGGCACUGGUAUCACAGCUGCAAUUUCCAUUGAUGUUGAUCGACUUCGAUUUUGAUUCUGCUUUCUGAUAUCUGAUUUGAUUUGGUUUGAUUUUGAUUUUUGAUUUUCACUUGACGGGUCUUCACAAGUGGAGUUUUGUGUCCCAAGAAGGAAAGGUAUGUGUAAGUCGACUGGCUACAUACCAGGUAGAGGCCACGGGCCAUGGUCUCACUAGUCUUGCCGGGCCCUCUCACGCACAGCAUACUUCCAUAGGUCUCGGUCUCUAGUCAUUUCCUUGGUGAGACCUAAAGUUCGAAGGUCGUGCUUGACCACCUCGUCCCAGGUUUUCCUGGGUCUACCUCUUCCACAGGUUCCCUCAACUGCUAGGGUGUGGCACUUUUGCACACAACUAUUUUCAGCCAUUCUCGUCACAUGACCAUACCAGUGCAAACGUCUCUCUUGCACACCACAACUGAUGCUUCUUAGGUCCAACUUUUCUCUCAAGGUACUUACACUCUGACGAUUAUGAACACUGACAUUACACAUCCAUCGGAGCAUACUGGCUUCAUUUCUUGCGAGCUUACGCAUAUCCUCAGCAGUCACAGCCCAUGUUUCACUACCAUGUAGCAUGGCUGUACGUACACAUGCAUCAUACAGUCUGCCUUUUACUCUGAGCGAGAGGCAUUUUGUCACCAGCAGGGGUAAGAGCUCUCUAAACUUUGCCCAGGCUAUUCUUACUCUAGCAGUUACACUUUCAGCACACCCACCCCCGCUACUGACUUGGUCACCUAGGUAGCGGAGGCUAUCAACUACUUUUAGUUUUUCUCCCUGGAACGUGGUAAAAGUUGGUCUCUGCACAUUUUCAGUGUUUAUUGCUCCUGAGCAUCUGCCACAGACAAAAACCAUUUUCCUAGUUAGCCUUCCUUUGACGUUGCUGCACCUCUUAUGUGUCCAUAGCUUACACUUGGUGCACCUUACAGAGUUUCUACCUACACCUUUUUUACAGAUCGAGCAGGGCCAUCUACCUGAAGGCGUUUGUGAUUGGUCUACCUUCCUACUUAUCAGUACUUUGGUUUUGGCUAGGUUGAUUCUAAGGCCCUUCGAUUCUAAUCCUUGCUUCCACACCUGAAACUUCUCCUCCAGUUCUGAUAGUGAUUCAGCAAUUAGAGCAAAGUCAUCAGCAUAGAGGAGCUCCCAGGGACAUCCUGUCUUGAAUUCCUCCGUUAUUGCCUGGAAGACUAUGAUAAAUAGGAGGGGAAUGAGGACUGAACCUUGGUGGACCCCAACCACUACCCGGAAUUCUUCACUGUACUCGUUGCCAACCCUCACCUUACUAGCAGCGUCUCUGUACAUAUAUAUAUAUAUAUAUAUAUAUAUAUAUAUAUAUAUAUAUAUAUAUAUAUAUAUAUAUAUAAAAGACGGGCUUCUUUCAGUUUCCGUCUACCAAAUCCAUUCACAGGGCUUUUGGUAGGCCCGAGGUUUUAGUAGAAGACACUUGCCCAAACAGCCAUGCAGUGGAACUGAACCUGGAACCAUGUGGAUGGAAAGCAAACCUCUUAUCACGCAGCCACGUCUGUGCCUUUUCAGUAUAAUAAACUUUUUAACAUAUUUGCACCAAUAUGCAGGCAACGCAUUGUACCAUAUAUUAGCACAUUUCAAAAUGAAUGCAGAUUUAGAAGGCUUGCCCUUCAGAUCACCAGAGCAUAAUGGUUACACCAAGGCUUCAACUACAUACAAAAUAUUCUUUUAUACAUACAACGUAUGCAACUCUCCAUGAAAUAAUUUCAUCGAUUGAAAACCUCUGGAUUUGAACUGCAAAGAAUUCUACAUCAUACUCAUCGGUAUUGGAUUACAGUGUGGUAUGAUAACCGGGGCCACUAGAAGAGCUUAUAUGUAUACAUAUAUAUAUAUAUAUAUAUAUAUAUAUAUAUAUAUAUAGAUAGAUAGAUAGAUAGAUAGAUAGAUAGAUAGAUAGAUAGAUAGAUAGAUAGAUAGAUAGAUGAACAUUAGAAGUUGAAAAUGCACUGAGAAUAUUUAAAAUAGUUUUUAUUAUUAAAAAUAAUAUUUUGACUAUGUGUGAGUGUGUGUAUAAUGCACAUACACAUACACAAACAAGCACACAUACACACAUAUGUAUGCAUAUAUAUACAUAUAUAUAUAUAUAUAUAUAUAUAUAUACAUAUAUAUAAUAUCAGGUAAUAUAGUAUACAUGCAAUAAUUAUAAUUUAACUUAUGUAAUCUACUGACCUUCCCUAAGAAAUAGAAAAGAAUGGUUUUGCCGGCCAUUUAGCUCAAUGUUGAAACCAUCUCAUUCGGACAAAAGUGUCAUACCAUGAAAUAAGAUAAAGAAAUUCGAGAGUAUCUACCCUCGGUGAAUAUUUCAUUUACUUAUACUGUCAUCUACAUCUAAUUCAUAUCUAUCUUUGAGCAAAAUUUGAAUCCGGGGACACUCUGAUGUUAGAAACAAUUCAUUCGUAUAGCGUAGAGGAUAUAUGGCAUAACAAGUGACAUUUCCUUGCUGCUUUGAGGUGAUUCUUCCUUGAGGUGUUUCUUCAAGUGUAUAAAAACUUAUUUGCUUAAUUGCACGAGUGUUGCUUUAAUGCUAUAAUGCAAAACUUUGUGUUCCUAAAAUUAUGCUAACAGACAAUUCCAUACGAAAGAGCAUAACGACCAGAUGGUUAAAUUUCCCGUAUUCUUUUUUAAGCUUUGCAUGGCAAUUAUACUAUAUAAAUGAUGGGAAAAAUCUUUGAGCAAUGCUAUUUAGAAAUUAAACAACAUAUGUAGUAUGAUAUCAAUGAAUUAAAACAAAUAGAAAAGAUACUACAUCACCUUACAUAGGUUGUUUACUGAUUCAAUAAUAUUUCGAGAAAGAUUGCCCUUUGAAAAUAGAAGAAAACUAAUGAUCAAAACUGCAGAGAUAUGUGUUGUUACCGAAAUAGUAUCGAUUGGUACAAGUUAUGUAAGGUAAUCAGUAUUUUAUUUAUAAUGUACCAAAUUUGCAUCUUUCCAGCUCAGCAUUUUCUUUCUUUCUGUAUUGUGCAUCUUCUCUUAUAGUUUUUGUUACUUUGAAUACCGCCAAGUCUGGAUAUAUAUAUACGCAGCUGUAUAUGUAGUGUGAUAACAUUUUGUAUAAUGCAUUCAGUAUAUGAAAAAUAAUUGCGAGUAGAUUCCCAAUCGUAUACACAUACAUUCACACAGACGCACACACACACGCACACACACACACACACAUAUAUAUAUAUAUGUGUGUAUAUAUAUAUAUAUGUAUUUAUAUAUAUAUAUAUACAUACACACAUAUAUCUAUAUCUAUGUAUGUAUACAGUUAUAUAGAUAUAAAUAUACAUAUAUAUAUAUUAAUAUAUAUAUAUAUAUAUAUAUAUAUAUAUAUAUAUACAUAUAUACAUAUAUAUACACUCUAUAUAUAUGCAAUUUUUUGCAUACAUAUAUAUAUAUGUAUGUAUGCAAAAAAUUGCAUACUCACACAUAUCUGUGUGUGUAGCUUAAAGGUCAUAUGUCAAUUACCGGCCUUUCUUCCGUAUAAAUAACAUAUUUCACGCACUCUCUUACUCUGUCAGUUUCUCUCUCUCUCUCUCUCUCUCUCUCUCUAUCUAUCUAUCUAUCUAUCUAUCUAUCUAUCUAUCUAUCUCUUUGUCUCUCUUUCUCUCUGUUUUCCCCUCUGCCCACCUUUCACUCACUCUAUCAUUAGCUGCUGCGUGAACAUAACUCGCUAAACUGUAGCGUUAGCAAACAACAGAUAAAACUGGUUUCAUGUAAAAAGUGAAAUGGCAAGUUCUAGAGUUGCGUUCCGUGAACGGAUCUCAGGCAAAAAUAGUAAACCACUACAAUGAAGAAAGAUGCUAUUUUCUCUAAUCUUAUUAAGGUACACGCAAGCAGUGCACCAAUAUCAUCUUAACGUUGACCUAAGAACCUAUUAGAAUAUUUAAUUGUCGAUCUUUCACUAUCAUUAUAUUGUCAUAAUGCCAUAUGAUAUCAAAGUAUGGUAUUUGAAGUCUUCACCUCGAUUCUUCUAAAAGAAGAAUGUUGAUAAGUAAAAGAACUGAUAUGGUUCGUAUUCUGUCUGGACUCGUGCGAUAUCCUUAAAGCUAUGAACUUUUCAACCCCACUUCGUAUAUAUAUUUCUUUACUACCCACAAGGGGUUAAACACAGAGAGGACAAACAAGGACAGACAAACGGAUAAAAUCGAUUACAUCGACAGUAGUGCGUAACUGGUACUUAAUUUAUCGACGCCGAAAGGAUGAAAGGCAAAGUCUACCUCGGCGGAAUUUGAACUCAGAACGCAGCGGCGGACGAAAUACCGCAAAGCAUUUCGUCCGGCGUGCUAACGUUUCUGCCAGCUCGCCGCCUUUCUCACGUUGGAUAUAAUUUUCUUUUAUUUUUAUCCUUACGCUAUUUGUGUAUUUAGCAAAAUGAAAAGAGUUCAAAUGAUCACAGUUAUAAUCGCUUCAUGUGUGGAAUUAAGUAAAGAACGUUGGUAACGCAUAGUAAUAUUUUAAAUUCUUACAUACAGAACUGACGCAUCUUUUUUACCACCCUAAUAAGAAUUUGCAAAUUUCAAUAUCGACCUUCUAAAUUCUAAGGAACAUUUUCACCUUUCAAUUUGAAAAUGUGUUCAACAAGAGAAGCACAGCUCUUUAGGGCAUUUUUACAAAAUGGAUGAUAAUGUGUGCAAUAUCUUUAAUUUUACAGGUGGAACCAAUGUAGAAUUUGGAAUUAUGGGUUUUAACAAUACAUUUAUAAACUCUAUUAUUACGUUUGCAAUGGCCAUUGAGUAGAACAUUUUCUCUUUCCUUACACUUAGAUUCAUUUUCAUAGGGAUAUAACGUGAAAUAAUUCGUAGAGAGAUGUACAAUAUCGUUUUAUUAGUAAUAUUUUUUCUUCCCCAUUACAAUAUAAUCAAUAUGAUAAACAUUUAUGCUGCACGUAUUAUUUUGAUAAUUUUAGCACAAUUCUCAAUAUUGUUAACACUAUCAUUAUUAAGGGCAGCGAGCUUGCAGAAUCGUGACCACAAAAGGCAAAAUGGUUAACUGCAUUUCGUCCAUCUUUGUUCUGAGUUUAAAUGCUACUGAGGUUGACUUUAUCUUUCAAUCUUUCAGAGUCGAUAAAACAAGUAGCAGCUGAGCCCUAGGGCUGCUGUAAUCGAUUUACCUUCUCCCCUGAAAUUGUUGGCCUUCUGCCAAAAUUUAAUACCGAUAUUAUCAUUAUUGCUGCAUUCAUCUUCAUCUCUGUCGUUUAUUUUACCGGGCGAAAAUACACACCAACUCAUCUUAUCUUCCAGAAGCAGUUGAAUUACCUGGAUUAUCGGUACCAGUCGACUGUAUUAUAACGAAUCACAUUUAGUUCGUAAUGAUGUGUCAGUAUUCUUUUGUGUCGGGAGACAAUGGAGUUGCGCUUAAACUAAUCCAGUCUGGCUUUUACAUUCCAUGUUCUUUCCAGUUUCCUCUCCAGUGUUGCACAGGCCUGUGGUAGAUAUAAGAAAAUCCUGGGUAGCCCAAUCGUCAGCAUUCCCCUCUCGACCCUGCUGACUUAGUCCAAAGGAGUGCAGAGCAUUGCAUUUGGCACCAGCUUUGGUUGCAGGAGCUGCCGGAAGAGUGGCGAGUCGAACACUAAACCGCCUACGGGGCUCCACUCCGGAUUUCUUUGAAGGUUGUCUCCUUUCCGUAACCCUGGUUAGGGGCCCACACCGGAUACUGUUAGCCGGAGCCAGCUGAGCCCGGGUCUCGUAUCAGGCAGGUUCGUCACACCCUGAAGUAAUGAACAAAAUCACUACCUACAACCUAAGUUCGUAAUGAGUAGAAAGCCUAGAAUCUAUAUAGAGUUCUGCAUAAAGGAAAUUGAGCAUUUUUAGCUUGUGUAUGUAUGUGUGUGUACGCGAGUGUGCCUGCAUAUUAGCAUGCGAGUGCGUGUUAGUGUAUAUGUGUUUAUAUUCGUGAUCAACACUCCUGCUGUCGUAUUUGAACUGCUAUCCUGACCAAAUGCAAUUCUUACGUAUCGUGAGAACGUUGCGGCUAGCUCUAAUAUUCUUUUAGUUAUUGGAAUAUUAUACGAAUACAGUUCCACAUAGCAAAUACUAAAAGUGCUUCUCUCUUCUGCGCACCCUAAUAUGUAGCAUUAGCAUUUUGUCAUUAGGUGUUGGAAGGUACCCACAGGACUUCGAACAGGUUCAUGUAAGUAUACGUGUGAAUGUAUAUAUAUAUAUAUAUAAUUACAUCAAGGAUAUCAAACCCUCUUAAAUGGAUGUUACCAUCAAAUUUCCCAGGUUAUAUACAGUGUUUCAGUGAAAACUCAAAGAUAUCAGUUCCAUAUAGAUGGAUUUGUGUGUAUAAAUAUUCUUGUAUGAGAAAAAAAGAAAACAGAGAUAUUAAUAUACAAACAUAAAUUUAUUUGAACAAAUUCCAUUUAGCAUAACACCAAAUUCUUUACACCUACAGCUGUUUUCAUACCAAAUUAAUUCAAUUUUAGGAAUUAAAUUAAACUUAAAUUAUCUAAAUUUUCAUAUCGAAUAUCGUAAAUUCGGUAUUUCGUCAGGGGAAAGAAUUUGUUAGAAAGGAUCUACACUCCAAUGUGUUGGCUGGCCUUUGAUAGGAUCAGAUAUGUGUGUUUUAGCAACACGUAUGUUUUAAAAACCGUUACCCUUCUUAUAUAUUUGUGUGUUCGUGUUAAAGUGCUGAUAGCUCGAAAUGAUGACGAGUCAAAACUGCUUAUUAAAUACCAUGGUUGAAUAUUACGUCAUCGAUAUUAGUGUACAGCAAUGAGAAAAGAAAUGAACGAUCUAACUGAGGUAAACAUAAAUAUUAACAAUAUUAAUAGGUAUCUUAAUAAAUAUCGUAUUAAUAUUAAGGUAUAAAUUAAAUGUUUAAUAUGAAUAUAAGUACUUAUGUACAAGUAACAGGCGGCGAGCUGGCAGAAACGUUAGCACGCCGGGCGAAAUGCGUAGCCGUAUUUCGUCAGCCGUUACGUUCUGAGUUCAAAUUCCGCCGAGGUCGACUUUGCCUUUCAUCUUUUCGGGGUCGAUCAAUUAAGUACCAGUUAUGCACUAGGGUCGAUGUAAUCGAUUUAAUCCCAGUGUCUGUCCUUGUUUGUCUUCUCUGUGUUUAGCCCGUAAAAGACUUUCUCACUUCCCGAGCGUUAAACUAAUACAAGUGCUUGUUGUUAGCACACCAGUCUUCGUCUUUUAUUUUUAUUUUGUAAAUUCUCAGUAUAUAUAUAUAUAUAUACAUAUGCAUACAUACAUAUAUAUAUAUAUACAUACAUAUACACAUAUAUAUGUGUGUGUGCAUGUGUGUAUGUAUGUGUGUAUGUAUGUAUGAAUGUAUGUAUGUAUGAAUGUACAUAUGUAUGCGUGUAUUGGGAGAUAAAGACAGAGCUACAUUUAUAUGGCCUUUCGAGGUAAACGCCGAAGACUACGAUGUAGAAUCAUCAAACGAAUACUUGCAGUUAUCUCCAAAUUCUAUGAACAGUCAUGCGCAGGGGCACAUACUACACGUUAAACGUGUGGAAGAUUGUACACAUUUUUACAGUUACAGUAUACCUUGUAGCUCAUUUGUUUCUGGUUUAAUAAAUUUCAUCUUCCAAAAACGAUCUGGAUACACUAUGUUAGACAAACAAGCAUUCUAAUAACCCUACACAUAAAUCUAGACUUGUAGUUUUGUUGCCUUAUCAGUUAAUUCUUCAUUAGUGCGUGAUAAAUAUUUAUUGUCCCUUUAAUCUUAAAUGUUUGUGUUAUCGUCUGCUGGUCAAUCAAUUUCUAGUACUGUAAACAUUUUUUGUCUCACGGAUCAUUAUACAUUAUUUGUUGGAAUUUUCCCGAUGUAUUUCCUAUGUUUUCCCUGACUUCACCAUCUCUGUACGUUUAUAUAUAUAUUGAUAUUCCUAAUUAUACUCUCCAACAAUUGUUUUGAAUAGGGCUAUUGGCAUAUCCGUAUAACUUAUAAGCAGUUACCAUCGUGAUGACAUUUCCAGAGAACUGCUUAUGAUGUGGAUCAUAUCUUCAGUAUUAAUCCAGAGUGCACACAGGCUAUUACAAUUAGUUUUUGUUUGCUUUUUUCAUAGAUCCCUAUUUCUAUUCUGUAUCACAUGUUGUAGAUAUUUCCUGUUGCGGGAUUGCAAACGUGAGGUUAAUUUUUGGACCGUUUGACCAAAACCAACAUUAGUUACCUUGUCUUAUCCCGCUUUUACUGUAUAUCUUCUGAAUUUAUAUUAUGAAAAUUUGUUGUGUGUCUACCUCUGAUCUUCAGCGAGAGAAUACAUUCCAAGUCGGCGCUUUCUACUUCUCAUGAAACUGUGUCCAUGACAUACGCAGAGUUAAAUCAUCAUACAUGGAUUCACGUCUGCCAGAGGUGUUCAAUAAAGUAUGGCGGGGAAUUCAGAGGCUUUUAAGAAUAAAAUUAGACAUAUGAUGUUGUGCUUUAUUUUCAGUAAAAAUUGUUAUCAUCAUCAGUCAUGUAGGAUUUCUUCGAGUUACUUACUAGAUUCUGAGUAUUAUUCACGUCCGUGAAGGCGCAUGGCUCAGUGGUUAGAGUGUCGAUCUUACGAUCGUGAGAUUGUGAGUUCGAAUCCGGGCUGCGUGUUGUGUUCUUGAGCAAGACACUUCAUUUCACGUUGCUCCAGUUCACUCAGCUGUAGAAAUGAGUUGCAAUGUCACUGGUGUCAAGCUGUACCGGCCUUUACCUUUCCCUUGGAUAACGCUGGUGGCGUGUAGAGGGGUGGCUGGUAUGCAUGGGUAACUGCUGGUCUUCCAUAAACAACCUUGCCCGGACUUGUGCCUGGGAGGGUGACUUUCUAGGUGCAAUCCCAAAAAAACUUCACGUCCGUAAUUCAUCUAGCGUUCAAUCGAAUAAACCAAAUCUUGGUAUGAAUACUAGGAGCACUCAGUCGGUUACGACGACGAGGGUAACGGCUGACACGAUCAACGGAACAGCCUGCUCGUGAAAUUAACGUACAAGUCACUGAGCAAUCCACAGACACGCGUACCCCUAACGUAGUUCUCAGGGCAAUUCAGCGUGACACAAAGUGUGACAAGGCCGGCCCUUUGAAAUACAGGUGCAACUCAUGUUUGCCAGCUGAGUGGACUGGAGCAGCGUGAAAUAAAGUGUCUCGCUCGCUCAAGGACACAACGCGUCGCCGGGAAUCGAACUCAUGAAUGCCCUAGCCACUAAGCCACGCGUCUUCACAUGGUAUGCGUACUACUACAACAGGCUUGAAUGGUAUGAGCACUACUACAACCGGCUUAAAUGACCUUCUCGUUUCCAGUGUCAAAAAAAAAUACUCCGACUAUUAUAUUUAUAUCUGACAUACUUAUGUGUUUCGUGGCGGAGCGAGCAUGCAUAUCACAUUCAAAUGAUACAUGUGUACAUAAUUAUAUUUUUAUGCAUGAGUAUAAUAAUAAUGGUGUAUGUUUAUAUUCAUGUAUCGAUCUUUCUCUUUGCAGAAGCUAUGGCACUUCAUCCCGCUUCGAUAACGCAACGAAUACGAUUAAAGCGUUGCUUAAGGGAUAUGAUAUACGACUUAGACCCCAAUUUGGAGG